rnacentral:lncRNA from 1 species
GUUUAAUUGCUGACCUUGGUUGGUUUCAAUGAACUUUGUCACUUCCUCUAAUUUUCCAAAAUUGAGACUAUGCAGAAGGGUAUGUUGCUGGCUCUAAAGAGUAUGGAAGUUUUCCACUAUCUACAGAGCUGUGUCUACAAACAGCUUGAAGAAGAUUCAGUCCGAAGGAUCACAGUCAACCACAGGGCGGAGUUGAUUAUGGUUGUAACAAGCAGCUAUAGGGGACAAUCACAUCUACAAAACCUUCACUGUUCUUGAGAGCUGGUGCCCUCGUUUGUUACGAUAAAUCUUUCCACCAAAGCUGCCUGAGCCCUACCGCCAUGUGGGCGGUCUCCGCCAGCCGCCCAAGUUCUGCCCGCCACGUGAUGGACAAAAUAAUACACAGACUUAUAUUAGGUACAAAUGCUGCUUGGCCAAUGACUAGGAUUUCUCAUCUGCUAGCUCAGUCUUAAUUAUCAUAAAUCUAUAUAUUUUAUAAGACUUAUGGGACCCCUUCCAUUGGCACCCUCCCUUGCCAGUGGAUCACAUGGCACUGCUGGAGGAGGAGUGGAGGGGAAAAAGGGACACUUUCUGUUUCUCCUUGACUAAAUAUGAGUCUCCUUGCUAUGUCACUUCCUGCCUGGAUCACCACUUCUCUACUUCAUUUCCCAGAAUCCUCUUUGACUCCUAGUCCCAUCUAACUUUCUGUCUCAUUGGCCAAACAGAACUUUAUUUAUCAUCCAGUAAGACAAACACAUACACAGAAGAACUUCCCCCAUCACUCAUUUCCAGAAUAGAGGUUAGUGUUCCCUUCGUGACUGCA